rnacentral:rRNA from 1 species
AUUGAACGCUGGCGGCAGGCCUAACACAUGCAAGUCGAGCGAGCGGCGGACGGGUGAGUAAUGUAUGGGGAUCUGCCCGAUAGAGGGGGAUAACUACUGGAAACGGUGGCUAAUACCGCAUACUAUCGGAUGAACCCAUAUGGGAUUGGCUAGUAGGUGGGGUAAAGGAUCACCUAGGCGACGAUCUGUAGCUGGUCUGAGAGGAUGAUCAGCCACACUGGGACUGAGACACGGCCCAGAAUCCUACGGGAGGCAGCAGUGGGGAAUAUUGGACAAUGGGCGAAAGCCUGAUGCAGCCAUGCCGCGUGUGUGAAGAAGGUCUUAGGAUUGUAAAGAACUUUAAGUGGGGAGGCGUUACCCACAGAAUAAGCACCGGCUAACUCCGUGCCAGCCGCCGCGGUAAUAC